CACCCAAACCUCAAGCCAAUAGAGCCAGUGACCAGCUGGCAGGAUGGGGACUGCAGCAGGGUCUCCUCCACCCAGCGUGUCUUGCUGUGUUUCGGGGCUCACUGCUGCAGACUGAAGUCAUCAAAAAGAGACUGAAAACACAGAGAGGGGUAACUUGCAAAAAGCAGAGCUCUUCGCUACUGUAGAUGGGGCACUGGAUAUGUUGCUUUUGCAUGGGAGUUGCCGAAUUGUUGAUGCUGCUCCUGGUUUUGGCUCUGAACUGUAACUCUUCCACAGCAGCAACAGCUUCUCCAACGGCACCCCACGUCAAACCCAGCUACAGUUUUGGUCGGACCUUCCUGGGACUUGAUAAAUGCAACGCCUGCAUUGGGACAUCCAUGUGCAAGAAAUUCUUUAAAGAAGAAAUAAGGUUUGACACUUGGCUUUCUUCUCAUUUAAAGCUGCCCCCCAGCUACCUGCUCAGCUACUUGGGCAACUACACUGAUGAUGCCAAGAGCUGGCGGAUGGUUGACAUCACUCGGCUGACCACCAAGUACCAGCAUGACCGGGCUGACAAGCGCAUCUGCGUCUCCCUGCUGAAGACGAAGACCUGCAGCCUGGAGCAUGCCCUACGCCGCACGCACCGCUUUCAGAAGUGGCUGCGGGCCAAGCGCCUCACCCCCGACCUUGUCCAGGGUCUGCCUAGCCCAAUGCUGCGCUGCCCAUCCCAGCGUCUCCUGGACAGGAUAGUACGGCGUUAUGCUGAGGUGCCAGAUGCUGGCAGCAUCUACAUGGACCACCUCACUGACCGGGACAAACUGCGCCUGUUGUACACCCUGUCAGUGAAUUCACACCCUAUCUUAUUACAGAUCUUCCCUGAUGUGGAGGGAUGGCCUUUCCCUCGGUACCUGGGCUCCUGCGGGCGGCUGGUGGUCAGCGCCAGCACCCGGCCCCUGCGUGACUUCUAUGGAGCAGCCCCUGAGGUGGCUGCUGACCUUGCCCUCCAGCUCCUUGCUGUCCUCCGCUCCAUGGGCACCAACGACCUCAACUAUUUCUUCUACUUCACCCACGUGAAUGCUGGCACCUUUGGCGUGUUCAGCAAUGGGCAUCUGUUCAUCCGGGAUGCCAGCACGCUGGGGAUCAUCGACAAGGAGGAAGGGAACCAGCUGAUUGACAGCCAACAGGAGUAUAAAGAUAUAUUUAGCUGCUUGACUGUGGACUGUCAGUCAGCAUUUGUGUCCUGCAACUCCAUCAGAGAGAAGCACAGUCUUGUCAUGGUGUGUCAAGAGCUUUUGCCUAAGCUUCUGAAGGGGAAGUUCCUGCAACCCGUGCAAGAGAAAAUCGACAGCUUCUUGCAGCACUGUGCCGGUGGCUUUGCUGAUGACCAGGGGAUCAACGAGGCGAUUGCAAUGCUGGCAGAGCUCCUGAAACCUCUGCGGUCUUGUGAUUCCCGUUUUGCCUACCGUUACCCUGACUGCAAAUACAGUGACAAGUACUGACGACUUCAGAGGAGGCAUACCCUGGGAAGGACUGGGGCACUGUCAGCUCCCUGCCAGUGCAGGAAGCAAGAAGGAACCAGGGUAGCUGGAAAGAGGUGAAUCAGAUCAGGGGCUUCCUAUCAAGGUGGAAGAGAAAGGAGAAGAGUGCAUGUGGGAUUUCUCGUUCACCUCCCAGACAUGCAUUUCUUACAAUGGGAUGCUAGACAUGAUGUAAGGCUUAUGGAUUAUUAGCACUAUCAUGAGUGACAGAGGCAACAGGAUUAAUAAAUCUUUUUCACGUGCUUUGGCUUUGGAAGAGUUUUACACACCCUCCAUCAAAAAGAAGCCCUCUGAAGGCAGCACAUUCACAAUUAGCUAGACAGAGGAGAUUGUUACCAAGAAAGUCUUUCUGAUCAAGAUGAUACGCACAUAACACGGGAUGGAUGGAAACAUUUAAGACUUUCUUUGUAGGAAUAUCUAAAUCACAGAUGAACUGAGCCACUGGAUCAUUUCCAUAUCAUAGCCAUCAUGGAUCACUUCUAUAAAAUAUUUGAAUUUUAUUACUUUUAUGAAACACGGAACAGAAAGACACAAGCAACAGGAUUAAAAAGUCUCCCAGCUUCCCACAAGGGACUAUCCAGAAAACAUCACAACAUUUUGGAGAACUUGGGAUCAGCAUUCAACAGUUUUUGUCCACUGGAGCAGCCAAAUGAGCACAUUUCUUGCAAGUGUCUUUCCAGCAAGCGCAGCCAACAACAGAUGCUUGCAGGGUACCAGUCACCAUUUCAGAUAUCCCUGAAGGGAGUCGCUGCAUCUCCUUCGGUGUUUGAAAAUGGAAAUCUCUUCAGCAGGUGGGCAAGGGAUGGGAAGACUUGCCCAGGUUUCAAGAAAUUAAUUAUUUACUCCUCCCCAUCUCCACUCAUGGCACUGUUUGCUCUACCUGUUUCCUUCUGCUGGAGAGAGCGAUCCCACCGAGUGUCUUUGUCACAUGAAGACUGCACGGGAUUAAACUUGCCAGGUACCAGAAGACCACAGUAUCUGCCUGAUGAACAAAACCAGGGCUGAUGCCCUGUGCGCAGGGCCUUUCAGUCUAACGGCUGCAUUGUCUGGAGAGAAACUUUGACAGAGGUUUCUCUUUGUGUCUACAAGGGUGUCAAAGAGAAAAAAAACCAAAACAACUGUGUAGGAAACACUUCUGCUGAAUUCUGUAAGCACAAUGACCAGAAAAAUGUAACAAUGACCUAUUGACUCGCUCUGUCAAUGUGCUUUGAGAAAGGCUCUCUGAAGUUAAGCAGUUUAAUUUUUUUUUCCAACAGCAGUGUUGGUGUUAUUGGUAUUUUGCCUAACAAGAGGGAACAUCUGGCUGCAGGGAGAGCAGGGAAGGGCUGGCCAAGUAGGACUGAACUUUAUGGUUACACACUUCUAGGUAACAGCCAAGCAGAGCUUUCUAAAAAUAUAGCUUUUGCAUAACUGAAGGAUUGUAUAUGCAGUGAUACAAAGUUACUGGGAAGGAAGGCAGAAAAGAGAAGCUUCUCAGUGGAGGACAUAAGAACAAAUAUGACUUUGCGAUUACACCAAAAAUAGGAAUAUGUACCUCAAAAGGUCUAACUUCUCAGCACUGACAAGUCAAGGAGAAAACAUAAAGAGCCAAAUGCUGUGGAAACAACCAGGACUUUUCUAUCUAGACCAGAGUCUUCGAAAGAUAGUCAGUCCCAGGGAUGUCUGUGUCCAUGGGAUUUUACGAGAAGGAUUAUUCAUAAAUUUGACAGAAACACAGAUUUAACUGGUGGGAAGUGAGAGAGGACUUUCAAUAGAGGCAAAAAUUAAUAAUUACUGGAAAAGGUGUGACAACAAGGUCCCUCUUUUUCCCACUGCAGACCCAGAUAUGUGAGCACACCCAUUCCUGCUCCAAGACACUGGCCCUGCUUCUUCUGGAGUAGGUGGGGGCGAAGACCCCAGGUGCAGCUCCCUAAAUGACCUCCUGCUGCCCAGUGGAGGGAUGCCAUGUGGCAGAUGAGUGAACUAUCCUGAGGGAGGCCUUUAGAGGCCAGGUCUGCAGGUGCAAGGACAGCUGUAAGCUGCUUCAUGACUUAGAUUUUUAAGCCAUACAUGAAGACCAAAAGGAAAGCCUGAUCUCCUGUGAUGUCUGCCCAAGUUUUUCUUGAAGAGCCGUGCAACAGUGGGAUCCGUUUAAAAGCACCAAAUUAGAAGCUCAGAGUAAAUGUGUACCAAAAAUAAAUAAAAAGAAAACACACACACCCCAGGUGGCUAAACAGCAGCACAACAGAGCGAUUCAAAGCAAAGAGACACCCUUCAAAAAGCAGAAAUCAAAUGCAGAAAUUAGGCAAAUUAGAUGCAAGACUACAAUAAGGCGGCCCCAGAAGAGAAAUCCAAGAAGAUACUUGCUAACAGUGUGGAGGCUGACAACAAACCCUUUCUCAAACACAUGAGAUACAGGAAGCCUGCCAGAAGAGCUGCUGUGGCCAGCACACAAUCUCAGCACAAGGAAGCCCAGGGAAAAAAGAAAUUGGUGUUUUGUAAUGGUUUUCACAGGUGGUGUCUUGAAGAAAAAAUAGUAGUAUCUUAACAGAAUCCGUUAAGAGCAAAAUCGGGUAAAAUGAACCCCAGUCUCCCCAUUUGUCAUGGUAAGGAGCCUAUACAUGGGAGAGGGUGGGGGACCCUGCGCCUCGCCUUCACUAAGACUUUGCUGCUGCUUCUCUGUAGGAGAGCUGACAAAUAAUGGGUCUGAUGGAAAUACUAACAAGGAUUGUGAGUGAGGAACUCGGAAUUUUCUGCCGAGGCAGGAGACAUAUAGGGUGGGUAUGACCCCAUUCAAGGCAGACACUUACCAUGCGGGAGAAAACCAGGAGCAGAGCAGCAGUUUGGCCAGGGGGUCUGGGGAACUCAGGGUGCCACAGGAGCCUGGAAAGAGUUGGGUUUUCAGCACAGCACAGAUGAAAAUGUGAUAACCAGAUGGGCACAGGUGUCAGAGGGUUUUCCUGGGGGAGGACCGCCUUACAAAACAGCAUGAGCCUAAAAAGAGGCAACUACAGAGGAAACCCCCACAUUGGGGAUUGUAGGGUGGUGGGAGGACAUAACAGGAGAAGGAUCUCUCUUCAUUUUGUUUCUUACAUUCCUUCCCAAACACAGCACUAAAAGUUUGGCCCAAUGUGUCAGCCCAAUUGAAUUUCAAAGGUCGCAGGAAGGGCCGGGAGUGACAUCCCAGCUUAUCUCCAGGCACCCACUUCCAAUGACCAAGAAAACACCUUCCUCAGGAGUCUUUAGCUUUAGCUUUGCAAUAUCCAUAAAAUUUAAGAUGUUAAUAAUUCAAUAAUAUUUAUGAAUAAAGUUAUUGCAACAUAGCUAGUAAUGACUCACUGUCUUCUCAAGAAAACACUCUAAUUUUCCGCUGAUUUUCCCUUUUGCAGGGAAAAAAGGAAAACAACUUGAAGGAAAUCAGCUUACCCUGAUCCAGAGAAACCAUUUUAAGAUCAGUGUUGUGAGUGGGAGGGAGAGCGCUGCGUAAUGGCACAUGAGAGCUUCGAGACCCCAGAUCUAUUAAAACAUUCAUUUUCCAGUCUAGCUGCCUUGCAUGCCUGGAAAUGUUCAUUCAGAAUAAACUUUCAUCAUAAUCAACAGCAAGUCGUCAAGCAAAAAUGAAUCCAGUUAAUUUUAGACAUCAGGAACCCUUGAGAGACCUUUUAUUUCAACAUCUGAAGCAGUUUUCAGUGGCUAUAUGUGGAUGAAUAAAGUUUCUCUCCUCUGAUAGAUUCAAAAUCAUCCAAGACAGUUGAUGUGAUGUUUGUUUUCUUUUUAGGGUUUGGAAACCUUAGGACUGGAGAGCUUGCUUUCCUCCCAGGUGAAACUGAUAGCUCAGGAAUCUAUCCCCCCAUCUGUCUCUUUGUGUCUUCCUUGGGUUUUUUUGAGAGAUUAACUACCAUGAUAUUGUUCUCUUGAUGUCUCACCCCAAAAAAGCUUUGUUUGUGGCUGUAGGGCUGCUUGUCUUCUAACCACUUUCCUUCCCUUACAUGUGCUGAGAUUAACACCCCUCUCCAGAAGGACUGCAGAGACUCCAACUGCCUUGCCACUGGGCUAUUACUCAUUCCAGAAAUGGGGACAUUUGUAUUUUCUGAACUGAAAUGGAAGACAAUUUUGGUGAGCACCAAGUGAUGCUCCUCUGGCUCUGCCCAGGGACAAGCAGCCAGGGAGGAGGACACCUUUCCCCACCCCAAGAUGAAGUGUAACCAUCACCAUUUGCUCCCGGGAGAUGUCCCCGCUGCCAGGUCGCUGCUCUCCCCCUGGGGCUCAGCCGCAGAGGAGCUCUGCCUGGGCAUUGCCCACACCCAGGCUGCUUUGGCAGCUUUGAAGAAAGAAGAAAAACUAUUUGGAGAUGUACCAGAGGAAAAACUUCCUCCAUGUGCACGCUAAAGGAGACAAAAGCAGAUUGUACAAAGAAGAAUUAGGGAAAGGCCAUUAUCAUCCAACUGCCGGGUCCUCUAACUCCAAUUUAAUUAAGGGUGCAUGCAAGGCAGAGGACCUCACAGCAUGAGGUGCUGUGCUUCUGCCAAUGCCACUCCACAUCAGAUGAGAUAAACUCUGCUUGGGGAAACUUACUAUCCAAAUAGAUAUAGCAAAUAUGUUACAGGAGGCAGAAACUGUGAAGGAAGUUUCACUGCAAAAAACGCAAAUGCAACUUUUUCUAGACCAUUUCUUAUUCAUUGGAUCACAGUUUCCUUCUCCUACUGACCUGAUAACCACUGCAGACCUCAGGGAAAAAAGCCAUAAUGAAAUAAUAUCCCCUUCAGUAAAGCUCCUGUCCUACGGCCUUUUCCAAGCCCCCUGGAAGAGGAGAAGCUUCUGCAUGCUGAGCUGAGUCCAUCAUGUCAUGUCAACUGCACAUCAUUAAAUUGAAAGAUUUGCUGCAUGAAGUCUCCUAAAACCAAGCAGAGACACAGAGGAGCCAAUCAGGCAAAUCCAGAGAUGAUCAGCAAGAGGAGCAAGAUGCUUUCUGAUGUGGGAUGGAUGUUCCAGGCAGGGCACUGUGGUGCAAGGGGGCACAGAGCCCAGCCUGACAUGGGCAGGCAGCAGCCUCCUGUGGGGAGAGAUGUGCAAAUUGCAGCAGAGAGGGGAAAAAUGCAACUGCAUAUAUGUGUGUGGAAAGACCAUAUAGCUCCAGCCAAAGGAGUGCUUAGAUUUUUAGGUCGAUAACUUCGGGGAUAAAGGAUGGAGGCGGGGGAGAGAAACAUGUGAUCCAUGUGGCGGGAACAUGAUGUCUCCAGUCAGCAUUUUAGCAUGGCAAAAGGCAAAGAUGAGAAAACAAAAUAAAGAAUCACAGAGUAAUUCAAGUUAAACCAACGCUUAAAAUUGCAUUUCAAUAAUGGGAACUAAGUUGGAGGA